rnacentral:lncRNA from 1 species
GGACUUUAAUCACACUCUCAUCAGCUCACCACUUAUAUUUCAACACUUCUUCAAGGACUCUCUCUCUCUCUCUUGGAUCUAUCGACCCCCAUGGGUUGAAGUGACUAAUCCCAAACAAAAUUUGUUGUGUCCCCUUCAGAAGAUGUUUAGAGCUCUUGCUCAGGUGCUUGCACUACCUCCUUCCAUUCUUAGGUUGUUACCACCUCCUUCCUUGCUUAGGAUGUUGGUUUCUUUGGCUUUGGGAAGUGUUUUCCCGGGUUUGCUCUUGGAUUGACUGCUGUUUCCUUCUUGGGAUUUUGGGGGUUUCGUUUUUGAAGGAGUUAAUUAGUCUUUGAUGCUCAGUUCAUGUAUUGUGAAGGAUUUUCGGAUUUGUAGUUUUUGUAUUUGUUUUAUGUGUUUUGGUGUGUUUGCAGUUCUUGCACUUAUCAUUAGUCAUGGUGGUGAUGUCUCAGUCUUCAUGGAAGCAACGGCAACGGUACUUUGGCAUUUGUUGGUGUUUCUACUUUUGGUUGGCUCUGGCUUUAUACAAGUUUUGGACUCUAACUUUAUGUUAGUUUUGCGCUCUGGCUUUAUGCCAGUUGUAGAAUUUAUGCAUGUUUAAGUUUGAUUUCUAGUGGGCUUUUACUGUUGCAUUUGUUUGGACUCAUUUUUAUGAGUUGCAAUAUCAUGUAAUUGGCAUUGCCUUUCUAUUAAUCAAACUUGAUUCCGACCAAAAAAAAAAGAGAGGAAAGAGAAUGUGGAUAUAUACUAACAAUUAUAGAUCCAUCGUUGCCAGAAUUUGAGGCGUGUUCCACUCGGGAAUGCAGAAGGCAUAAAUCCUUCCAUCGGGAAUACCCCAUUUUGGUCUUCAGUGAAGAUCAAUUGUGGGCAAUACUGAAUUAAUUCCC